AUUGAACGCUGGCGGCAGGCUUAACACAUGCAAGUCGAGCGAGCGGCGGACGGGUGAGUAAUGUCUGGGAAACUGCCUGAUGGAGGGGGAUAACUACUGGAAACGGUAGCUAAUACCGCAUACCAUCAGAUGUGCCCAGAUGGGAUUAGCUAGUAGGUGGGGUAAUGGCUCACCUAGGCGACGAUCCCUAGCUGGUCUGAGAGGAUGACCAGCCACACUGGAACUGGGAAACGGUCCAGACUCCUACGUGGGGCAGCAGUGGGGAAUAUUGCAAAAUGGGGGGAAGCCUGGUGCAGCCAAGCCGGGGGUGUGAAGAAGGCCUUCGGGUUGUAAAGCACUUUCAGCGAGGAGGCGUUACUCGCAGGAGAAGCACCGGCUAACUCCGUGCCAACAGCCGCGGUUAUUC
rnacentral:rRNA from 1 species